AUAUUGCGCAAUGGGCGAAAGCCUGACGCAGCGACGCCGCGUGGGUGAUGAAGGCCUUCGGGUCGUAAAGCCCUGUCGGGAGGGACGAAACCUCGGUGCCCUAAUACGUCACCGGCCUGACGGCACCUCUUAAGGAAGCACCGGCUAACUCCGUGCCAGCAGCCGCGGUAAUGCGGAGGGUGCGGGCGUUGUUCGGAAUUACUGGGCGUAAAGCGCGUGCAGGCGGUCUCUUAAGUCUGGUGGGAAAGCCCGGGGCGCACCCCCUGAAGGGCACUGGAGACUGGGAGGCUAGAGUACCGGAGAGGAUGGUGGAAUUCCUGGUGUAGCGGUGAAAUGCGUAGAUAUCAGGAGGAACACCGGUGGCGAAGGCGGCCUUCUGGACGGCUACUGACGCUGAGACGCGAAAGCGUGGGGAGCAAACA
rnacentral:rRNA from 1 species